UGGGGAAUAUUGGACAAUGGGGGCAACCCUGAUCCAGCCAUGCCGCGUGUGUGAAGAAGGCCUUCGGGUUGUAAAGCACUUUCAGUGGGGAGAAAGGUUGUUUACUUAAUACGUAAGCAAAUUGAUGCUACCCACAGAAGAAGCACCGGCUAACUCCGUGCCAGCAGCCGCGGUAAUACGGAGGGUGCAAGCGUUAAUCGGAAUUACUGGGCGUAAAGCGCACGUAGGUGGUUUGUUAAGCUAGCUGUGAAAUCCCCGGGCUCAACCUGGGCACUGCAGUUAGAACUGGCAAGCUAGAGUAGGGUAGAGGGGUGUGGAAUUCCAGGUGUAGCGGUGAAAUGCGUAGAUAUCUGGAGGAACAUCAGUGGCGAAGGCGACACCCUGGACUCAUACUGACACUGAGGUGCGAAAGCGUGGGGAGCAAACA
rnacentral:rRNA from 1 species